rfam:Vibrio phage VH7D, complete genome.
GGAGCCGAGGUGUAAGUGGUUGCAUGUCUCCCUGUCACGGAGAAGGUAGCGGGUUCGAAACCCGUCGGUUCCG